GACAGAGGGUGCAAACGUUGUUCGGAAUUACUGGGCGUAAAGCGCGUGUAGGCGGCAGGGCAUGUCGGAUGUGAAAGCCCGGGGCUCAACCCCGGGAGGCGGGCGGAUACUGUCGGGCUAGAGUCCGGAAGAGGCGAGUGGAAUUCCUGGUGUAGCGGUGAAAUGCGCAGAUAUCAGGAGGAACACCAAUGGCGAAGGCAGCUCGCUGGGACGGUACUGACGCUGAGACGCGAAAGCGUGGGGAGCAAACAGG
rnacentral:rRNA from 1 species